GUUGCCACCACGAGAGGUGGGGACGUCAGGCGGGGACCGCCGGUGACAAACCGGAGGAAGGUGGGGACGGACGUCAAGUCAUCAUGGCCCUUAUGUCCUGGGCUACACACGUGCUACAAUGGCCGGUACAGAGCGCAGCGAGGCCGCGAGGCGGAGCGAAUCGCUUAAAGCCGGUCCCAGUACGGAUUGGAGUCUGCAACCCGACUCCAUGAAGUUGGAAUCGCUAGUAAUCGCGCAUCAGCAUGGCGCGGUGAAUACGUUCCCGGGCCUU
rnacentral:rRNA from 1 species